rnacentral:rRNA from 1 species
GACGAACGCUGGCGGCGUGCUUAACACAUGCAAGUCGAACGGUGAAGCCUUCGGGUGGAUCAGUGGCGAACGGGUGAGUAACACGUGAGCAAUCUGCCCUUGACUCUGGGAUAACUUCGGGAAACCGGAGCUAAUACCGGAUAUGACAUCUGGCCGCAUGGUCUGGGUGUGGAAAGAUUUAUCGGUCAAGGAUGAGCUCGCGGCCUAUCAGCUUGUUGGGGGGUAAUGGCCCACCAAGGCGACGACGGGUAGCCGGCCUGAGAGGGCGACCGGGCCACACUGGGACUGAGACACGGCCCAGACUCCUACGGGAGGCAGCAGUGGGGAAUAUUGCGCAAUGGGCGGAAGCCUGACG